AAGACCGGGCAGAGCACUCCAUGUUAAGGAGUGUCACUUUGUUGAGUUGUACAAAGUUUUUGAAAAUAUUCUUUAAACAUAUAAUGAUUCAAUAAGCCUUACAUAUUGUCAUCUUAACUUUUAUACCAUUAUUGACAGAGCAGGAUCAGAUGUAGGUCACCCGGUUUUUGGGAACAAAGCACUCCACCCCCCUCAACACAGCUCAGAUGGAUGUAUUCAAGAAGACUGUUUUGCUAAGAGAGGCCUGUUAAGAUUCAGCUAUGGCCCAUUUUCUACCCUCGCUAAGACACUAUAGUUUGAACAAAAGGACUUACCCUGGAUGACACGAGAGUGAAUCAGCAUUUCUUCUGUUUCUGGAUAUUUCCUUUAUUUACUCUCCAAAACAAGGCCACACCUGCUCACUCUGGGUUAAACCAUAAAGAUAAGCCACAACCCACCCUGACCUCGACAGGCCUUGUCUGAAGUGCUGUCAGAACAUCCAGUCAUUUAACUAACUGAUUAAAAUGUCAGUCAAGAGUUUGUUGACUAUUUGGAAAAGUAACUUUUUGGAAGAUUUUUUUGCACGCUAUUUAAUAUUUGAGCAUUUUUUGUAUUAUAAUGAAUUAUUUAAAAAAGCUAAUAAAAUCUGAACAAAACACAUGCCUAAUUCCACAACUAGUCUUAAGAUUUCUAAUCUGUUGUCUGAACUGAUUCUUAUCAAGCCCUGCCAUAACAGAACAUAUUGUCCAUUAUGUGCAUUGUUUUCACAGCCCACCAUCCACCGUUCAGAGGUACACACUCUGAUGUAAUUCUGUUAAUGUUUAGGGCAUGUACCAAACCUGUUGCGCAAUAAACCAUAGUCAAGUUAUUUAAUUUGACGUAAAAUGAGCAAAUGAAAACAAGGCUGUGAGGGAUGGCAACACAAUAUAAUCUCACAAAUGGAUGGGAGUUUUUGUGGUGGUCUUUAUACAGGUCCAUACACAUAUUCUCAGUGGUAACCUUUUUGUGAGUCAUUCUUUGAUGUGAUACAAGUGUCCAUGGAUGACGAAACUCAUAUGUCAUUGAAUCCUUGUGGCAUUUCCAGAGCCUCUUUUUCUGACGCAACUAAAUGUCAAAAGAGGAGUGUGACGGAGAGUUUAUUCACAAAAAGCACUACGUACACAGACAUGAUCUCUGAAAUGACCUGGUUUACUACCUGACACUUAGGUUAAACAAAGCAGACUGAAAAAUCAAACACAUUUCAUAAACUUACAAUGGCCCCAAAAUGUAUUUGGAGGAUAUGUGACGCAUGCAUUAAAUAUCAAAUUGUCAAACGAAAUGACAUUUAGUUUCAAGAAAUACUAUCACCAUCACACCCUUUACAUUUCAAAUAAUAAUAAACCAAAAUGGAAAACCAGAUUUGGACACGUCAAAUGCUAUGAGCUACACCUGUGAACUUGCAUUGAACUCAAAAUGUACAUGACUUAAAGUGUGCCUUGAAAAUUGUAUCUAAAUUUUUAGUAUAUAUCAAUUUGAAGUUCUAAUGCCAUCCAUAUAGUCACAAAUGUUACAAGAAAGCACUACAGUGAAGGAAAAAUCAUCUGGAAUGCAUUUGUAAUUGUAAACA